GUCUAUGGCCAUACCACCCUGAACAUGCCCGAUCUCGUCAGAUCUCGGAAGCUAAGCAGGGUUGGGUCUGGUUAGUACUUGGAUUGGAGACUGCCUGGGAAAACCGGGUGCUGUAGAAA
ensembl:rRNA n-R5s162 nuclear encoded rRNA 5S 162